UACAGAGGUCUCGAGCGUUAGGCGGAAUCACUGGGCUUAAAGCGUGUGUAGGUGGAUCGUUAAGUACCUUGUGAAAUCCCACGGCUUAACCGUGGAACUGCUCGGUAUACUGGCGGUCUUGAGCCACUUAGGGGCUACCGGAACAAAUGGUGGAGCGGUGAAAUGCGUAGAUAUCAUUUGGAACGCCAAUGGUGAAAACAGGUAGCUGGGAGUGUGCUGACACUGAGACACGAAAGCCAGAGGAGCAAACGGG
rnacentral:rRNA from 1 species